rnacentral:tRNA from 1 species
AAGGAUUUAAGUUAAAAUAAACCCGUAGCCUUCAAAGCUACUAAUAAAGCCUGCUUUAAGCCUUA